rnacentral:rRNA from 1 species
GACGAACGCUGGCGGCGUGCCUAAUACAUGCAAGUCGAACGCAGUGGGGACGGGUGAGUAACACGUGGGUAACCUCCCAUCAGAGGGGAUAACACUUGGAAAAAGGUGCUAACCCGAUAUUGAAGGAUGGAUCCGCGGUGCAUUAGCUAGUUGGUGAGGUAACGGCUCACCAAGGCCACGAUGCAUAGCCGACCUUAGAGGGGGAUCGGCCACACUGGGACUGAGACACGGCCCAGACUCCUACGGGAGGCAGAAGUAGGGAACCUUCGGCAAUGGACGAAAGUCUGACCGAGCAAGGCCGCGUGAGUGAAGAAGGUUUUCGGAUCGUAAAUCUCUGUUGUUAUAGAAGCGGUAUUUAACCAGAAAGCCACGGCUAACUACGUGCCAGCAGCCGCGGUAAUAC